rnacentral:rRNA from 1 species
AACGAACGCUGGCGGCAUGCCUAACACAUGCAAGUCGAACGAAGUCUUCGGACUUAGUGGCGCACGGGUGCGUAACGCGUGGGAAUCUGCCCUUGGGUGCGGAAUAACUUCUCGAAAGGGAUGCUAAUACCGCAUAAUGUCGUAAGACCAAAGAUUUAUCGCCCAAGGAUGAGCCCGCGUAAGAUUAGCUAGUUGGUGGGGUAAAAGCCUACCAAGGCGACGAUCUUUAGCUGGUCUGAGAGGAUGAUCAGCCACACUGGGACUGAGACACGGCCCAGACUCCUACGGGAGGCAGCAGUGGGGAAUAUUGGACAAUGGGCGAAAGCCUGAUCCAGCAAUGCCGCGUGAGUGAUGAAGGCCCUAGGGUGUAAGCUCUUUUACCCGAGAUGAUAAU